UCUCUUACCGAGUAGAGGAAGCAAUUGUGGUUCAUUUCUUUUCAUUUCGGCACUCACGAUCGAGAUCUCAUUACCCUGGCCGUGGCUAUCCGUAAAAUUGUUAAAAGAUGGGCAAAGCGUGUCUUAAACCAAAAUUUGGUGCAAUAGAAAAAUGGGAAAGAAACGGGAAAACCCGAUCGUAUCCACUCAAUGUGUGUGAUAAGGAUGCCCCUAUUGAUUGCCAUAUGAGAAAAGGAGAUGUAAUGACGAUUCUAUCACACGGAUGUCGUUCGUGUAGCAAGAAUUUGCUGUAGAAAUGUUCUACAUCGGGGAUUAGAAUAUUCAAGUGGAGACUGUUGGCCAGUUAAGUUCAGCGGAUGCAAGUCAGUGAAAGUGUGAUUAGUGGUGCGACUAGUGGUGCGAUUAAAGUCAAUCUAUACAUUUUUUGUAUAAGUUCGUGAGCCGCAACGUUACAUUAGGUUCGCAAGUGGUUAGCACGUGCUUUCUGCUGACCAAGGUCAAAGGCUUAGCUAAUUUCAAGCUUUUGAAGUCGCACACCGAUCAAUAAAAUCUAGUUCGCAGAAAAAAGAUCAGGCGAAAACCCACUGUUCAACGUGGGAGCGAGUCUGGAGCGGUUUCUGGAGCGGCGCGAGACCGAAUUCGCGGCUCGAAACAUCCGUUCGAGGUUAGGUUGAACCACCCUAACCACGUGACUGGGCGUCACUCAUUGGGAAAACCGACGCCACCCCGUAGUGAACGCUGGGAUCUCCACAAAAACAUCGCGCGAAGCAAGCACCCGACGCUCGCAAGCAACUGGAGCGCACCUCGUGGCGGUGCUACAAACUAACGCACUGCUCGACCGGAAGUGUGUCUCCGCUACGUCAAUCGCCAACCUCCAAAAGUGUGGUGAAAAACGUCGCCGCGGGAGUGUCCGUGCUGUUGGAUUACGCACGCGCGUGGUGAGUCCACAUGGUCGACCGACCGUACGCGUGAACGUGGGACUACGCGAAAACUGUCUACAACGAACCUGUUCCUGCUUCCUGCCCUACCAUUCCUGCCAGCCAGCUGAAUCGCGGUGGAACCAAGGUCAAGGUCAGAUCUGCACUUUUUAACCUGAUUUUAAACUGAGCUCGAAGAAAACCCCUGUAAGAGAGAAGAAACGUGACGUCACACAAGCAAAGCUUAGGGCCCCAAAUACACGGAAAUACAAGCAAAUUUGAGUCUUUUCGCAUAUAAGCUGGCUUGUGUUUAAUGGAUUGAGCUGUGUCACGUUCUUUGCUUGGGUUGGGAGAAUUAGUUGAACCUUCUUGCGCCGGUAGAACUUUUGUUUAAUCCUUUUCUUUGCGGUAAAUCAAUACAAUAGUAGUUUAGUUUUGGGAAACGGAUAAGCCACUUGGAAGUGUCAUGUGAUCUCGGAUUUUUUGCCCUAUUAACCCGCCCUGUGAGAGAGCCUCAAGCCGGGACUCGAAACACGCUUCAGCAACCUCUUCUUGGAAGAGUGGCGCUUAAGUUGCUGCUAGUUUGAGCGCAAAAGAAUUCGU